GACGAACGCUGGCGGCGUGCUUAACACAUGCAAGUCGAACGCUGAAGCUCAGCUUUUGUUGGGUGGAUGAGUGGCGAACGGGUGAGUAACACGUGAGUAACCUGCCUCCUUCUUUGGGAUAACGCCCGGAAACGGGUGCUAAUACUGGAUAUUCACUGGUCUUCGCAUGGGGGUUGGUGGAAAGGGUUUUUCUGGUGGGGGAUGGGCUCGCGGCCUAUCAGCUUGUUGGUGGGGUGAUGGCCUACCAAGGCUUUGACGGGUAGCCGGCCUGAGAGGGUGACCGGUAACAUUGGGACUGAGAUACGGCCCAGGCUCGUACGGGAGGCAGCAGUGGGGAAUAUUGCACAAUGGGCGCAAGCCUGAUGCAGCGACGCCGCGUGAGGGAUGGAGGCCUUCGGGUUGUGAACCUCUUUCGCUCAUGGUCAAGCCGCAACAAUGGUUGUGGUGAGGGUAGUGGGUAAAGAAGCGCCGGCUAACUACGUG
rnacentral:rRNA from 1 species